UACGUAGGGACCAAGCGUUGUUCGGAUUUACUGGGCGUAAAGGGCGCGUAGGCGGCAAUUCAAGUCAGUUGUGAAAUCUCCGAGCUUAACUCGGAACGGUCAACUGAUACUGUUUUGCUAGAGUGCAGAAAGGGCAACCGGAAUUCUUGGUGUAGCGGUGAAAUGCGUAGAUAUCAAGAGGAACACCUGAGGCGAAGGCGGGUUGCUAGGCUGACACUGACGCUGAAGCGCGAAAGCUAGGGUAGCAAACGGG
rnacentral:rRNA from 1 species